rnacentral:rRNA from 1 species
GUCCCAGUGUGUCCGUCCGCCCUCUCAGGCCGGAUACUGAUCGUUGCCUUGGUGAGCCGUUACCUCACCAACUAGCUAAUCAGCCGCGACCCCCUCCUCAAGAGCCAGGACUUGCGAUCCCCGGCUUUGAUC